AGCAAUUGGGUGGCUAUAACCAUUCCAGCAGUUACUCUUUAAGCUGAUAAUUGAAGGUAAGACACAGACCUUUAAAAACUACCUCAGUUUUAUUUGUUGUCUUUGUUCUCUUUGUUCAGACCAUACACAGAGUCUUUCAGGCCCCUGUUUUCUUUCAAAGCCUGUAUUGAUCCCAGCUGUGAAGUUAGCAUCUUAGGAGUGGGUUUUCCCAGGCAGUGGAAAGUUAUUUUCUUAGGCACCUCAUUGUCACUUCAUAUUCUUGGAAACUACUUAAAAGCGGGAUCUGUUCGCUUUAUGACAAAUCCCUUUAUUUACAUGGAGGGAUGGCAGGUUUCGGUUUAUCCCACUAAAACAUUGUGAAGAACAGGCCUGAAAACAUAAAUCCUGGUGCAAGGUUCACUCCAAGCCAUCCCCAGGGCUGUUUAUCCCCCAGCUCUCAGUCUGGAUCACUUCCUACAGAUGCAACUUGCACCUUGGGUUUUACCUUCUUUCUUUUCUGCAGCCAGGUCACUGUCUCACUACAAAACCCAAUCAAAGACAAGGUAGGUGGGGUGUUUUCAUCAAUGCCUGUGAGCUGUUAUUGCUCUGUGGCCCUAAACUAGCACAGCUGGGCCUCAUUUAUCUAAAUUAGACCUCUCUAGAGAGGCUUCUUCAACAGUCUCUUAUGGGUAAUUCUAGUGCAAAGCUGUAGGUGCUCUCCAUAGUCAGGAAGAGCAAGAGCUUCCUCAUGUGUAUAAUUACACUCAAUUUACAAAGAAGAAAUGAAGAUACAACUUGGUUUGGACAUGUAAUGAUGUCUCUAGUUUGUGCUUGAAGAACUUUUGGCUUGCCCAUCAUUUAAAUCUGUGCCACCUGAAGCUCCUGGCAGCCCCCCAGCAAAGAAAACAUCUACCUGCCUGAUAGAGGCAGCUGUGCUCCACCCUGAGAGCUCAUGUUCUGCAGGUGUGAAGCAGAGGUGUCACUGGGAGCUGGGUUCCUGUGUGGAAGGUACUUGGCUAUGUGCUGUUUGGAUUUGAAGAAGAUAUUUGGCUCUGGGAAGAGAUGUGCAAGAAAUGUCUGACAGAUUUGCACCACGGAGAGCACUUUGCUGCUUGGAGAAAUUGCUGUCUAACUGAUCCUUUGUGGACUUCCGACCAAAACCAUUCAGUGCAACAUACGCUCCAGGUAUCGUGCUCAGUGGCUCAUUUAAGACCAAGAUUUCCUUUGUGGUCCAGGAGUAAAAUCCAUAUUUCCCUCCAAUACAGAGGACAGCCAGAAGGGAAAAUGAGAGCACAGCUGACCAAAACCCAGACUCAUCUGGGCACCAUGGGUAUCUACAACUGCAUCAUUCAGGACCUGAGAUGCACGAUAAACCAGCUGUGAAAUGGAGCUACAAGCUGGCUGCUUGCAGCAUGGACAAAGGAAGAGGGUCAGGGUUCCUACGUGCCUUUUCUGGUCUUUUCAGCAAGCUAAUGGAAACAAUUCUGCAUCUUCAAGGCAAGAUGAUGAAGUUUUCAAGUUUCCCUGACUUGUAACAACAAAGAACUGAUACAGCUCCACAGCAGCCAAAUGCCAGCACAUCUCCACAUCUCAGCUUUACCAUUAGCCUCAGGUAAGAGAGGGGAGAGAUUUCCUCUUUGCAUAUCAUUUGCUUAAUCAAUCUGAAACACAAUCCUGCCAGUCUGAAACCAGGUUUGAAACAGUGACAGCUAAACAUCUGCACAAUCUGUCCAUCAUCCCAAGGAUGGGGUAUUUUAUAAGGUUUGGAUGAGCAAACAGGAAGGAUGGGAAAAGAUUCAGCAGCUCUGAUAGGAAAGGGAAAAAGGCACUGGUGUGGGCUGUUCACAUCACAGCACACCCUGCCCUAUUCAGACACUGCUUCACACCAACACAAACCCAUGUUAAUUUAAUAAAUGAAAACAUCCUGUGUCUCCCCAGUUUGGCAAAGGUAGGACGUGGAGUGAAGGAGAUCCCCUUUGCUUACUCUGCAUGUUUUACCAGUUAUCCCCAAACUCCCUGAAAUGUCAAGAGAAAGAUCAACAGAGCAAAAUAUAAUCUCAAAGAGAAACACAAUCUUUUCUAAGAUGUCCUCACAGCAGCAAUCAUCACAAAAACACAAACCCGAGGUUUGUAAAAAUCUAGCAAUAAAACCACAGACAUCUUUACAACUCCAAGACAGACAAGCACAAAACCCCUCCCAGAUACAAGGAGAAAAACUAUUAACUGGGGAACAUCUAAUUGGCUUACAGCGUGCAGAAAUAAAAAGAAGCCACACGUGACACCAAUUUGCAGGCCAUUAACAAUCACCAUCAGGGAAGAUAAAAUCAAAUCCCUUCAUUUUGUCUCACCUAGAGACCGUGGAGCAGCUGAGCUGUACGGAGGUGGAAUGCUGCACUUAGGGGCAACUAUGUGGUUUAGGUUCAUAAAGCAAGCUUAGGUCUUUGUGCUGCUUCCUGGUCAUUUAAAGGCCUUUUCUUUGCAAGACAAUUAUAGGCAUCUGUACUUCCCCAGCUAACAGCAUGUUCUGUUCCACAGGAAUAGAGAUCAUCUCUCUUAAAAUAUGAGGCAGGCCCUCAGGCAAUGUAGCUCAGCAUCCCAGUGUGCUCUAGCAGGUUAUUUAAUAUUUUCAUGCCUUGACUCUUCCAUCAGCAAAAGGAAUCUUGUAUUUCUCCCACUCUGUUCAACCAGGUUUAAAGCUCUUCACAUGAGUACUGCUUAUUAUUAGGAGGCAAUAGAGGACCUGUGGCAGCGGAGGGCUGGUUGUGUGCAAGGUAAUCAGACUCAUCUGAGUAUAGAGCAGGAUUAUAAAGCACAGCUGGUUUGGUGGAGGACUUUCUGCACCCCCUGCAAUCAUUUAGCGUGGUACUUUCUUGUGUGCUUGACUUUACUCUUUGGUACAGGAUUUUGAAUUGCCCACCUGUUUGCCUGUAUUGCUGGGGGAGGCAGGCAUCAGCUUGCUGAGAUGAUGGUACUGAUCCAGCUAUUGACAACUGCAGUGACUUGUCUUUUCCUCUGUCUGCCAUGGAAAUAAACCCAUGUGAUAGCAGUGAUGGGAAAUUACUCAGAGGAAAAAGAAGUUCAAUGUAGGCAGAGUAAACACAGCCUCAGCCUAGUACCAUACAACUGUCAACUCACAUUGCAGUAGGCUUCUUGAUGCUGGUAAUUUAACGAUUCUUUGGCCCAAGGGUACAUCUCCCACUGCAAAUCUGCUUCUUCGAAGCCGCUUUAUCACUGACCUGAAAGGAAGCAGUCAUGGGUCGGGUGUACAUGUAUGUGAUGAGAGCUAAUGCAUGGUAACAGCUACAGCACAUCUAGCAGGUCUGACAAAACAGACAAGGUUCUGUAGGAGUAUUUUGCUCCCUGAACAUAAAGGUCACUGGCCUUUUUCCUGAUGAUACUGGAUGCAAUACAGUAG